GCAUUAUUGAAGUGGUAUGCUGGUGGCAGCUACAAAAACAUUAUUUUCACUGUUGAGGAAAACAACCACAUUUAUGCUCAGAAAAAGCGAUCCCUAGAAAUUUGGAAAGAAUAAUAGAAUCAGAAGCCAAUGAUGGUGUGAUGUGGAAUCAGUUGGCAUGGAAAGGCAAAGUUGAACUUUGUACCGCAGGGAAUGAAAGUGAACGCGAAAUUACACCUUUUACCACACGAAAGAAAUCCUAGAAUCGAUUGUAAAGCCACUGAAUACUGGUCUUUUCAACAAUAUCAACUAGUCCUCCCAACAACAUUCUGCUCCAUCACACAAGACCAGUUACUGAGAUGUGGCAAACCUAACACAUUUUUAACUUCAUCUCCACUGAAGAAUGAACCACUGCAUUUCGAGAUCUGAAUCCACUAAAUUGUAGAAUAUAGUCGAAGUUGAACUAAAGUUGUGUGCAAGAUCUCACACCAGUGUCGACGAUCCGAACAAGGCCUUUCUUCUGUAAUGGGAGAAUUGCCCCAUUACAGUUUGUGUAAAAUAACAGACGAAUGGCCAAAGAUUACAUAACUUCAUCAAACCACUUUUGUGCGACC
rnacentral:lncRNA from 1 species